UGUGAAUCAAAAAUAUCAAAACAUUGGACGAGAAAGAGCUAAGUUUAGACCAAACUUUGAAUACGUUAAUGCAGCAGUAAUGGCACUAGAGGGCGAUGCUGGCAAAAUAAUUAAUUGGUAACUUCCUCCUUGUGCAGCAAGUAAAUAAACAAAUAAGUUACAACAAACUUACAUUAAAACAGACGACUGAGUUGAGGAGAAAAAGAUUAGUUUGCUAUGAAAACAUCAGGACUAGUUGAUCAUCUUGCAUACGUCAGAGCAGCUCCUGAGGCCUCUAUUGCUUGAAUAAAUGACUACACGGACCCCUGUGACUGCUUUUAUUGGACCCUAGAGAGAGGUAAAGAUGUUCUGUCAAUCAUUCUGGACGUCCUGAGAUGAGUGUAAAGGACAAAUGCAUUUGUGCUUCUGUGCUGAAUGAGAAAUGUCAGAUUAUGUACUGGCAAUAGUUCAGUGGGGUGGCAGGGCUGACUGUUGCUAUGGUGACGUGUCAGCGGCAUGUUUAUGGGUUGUCUGACCUUAUUUUCGAUGAAGCCAUUAUUACAAACAUCCACAUGCAUACAUCAUUUACUGACACUUGUUAAUACCGCUGGUGUAAUCCAACAUCA